CCAAGAGGAAGGUCAGCUCUGCUGAAGGGGCCGCCACAGGAAAAGCCUAACAGGAGGUCAGCGCUGUUGUCAGGUAAACCUGCUCCUGCAAAAGUGCAGGCGAAGCCGAAAAAGGCAGCAGCGAAGGAUACAUCUUAAGACAAAAAAGCACAAACAAAAGGGAAAAGGAGAGCAAAGGGAAAACAGGCCUAAGUGGCUAACCACGAAAGUAAAGAAGAGUUAACUGCAGAAAACGGGGAAAGGAAAACUGAGGAGAGUCCAGCCUCUGAUGAAGCAGGAGAGAAAGUAGCCAAGUCUGAU
rnacentral:lncRNA from 1 species